GCAUAUUACCAAAGAUGGAUUGUAGCUUAUUUCUGUUCGCUGUAGGAAAAAAACAUUCUGAAUUUGGGAUGGUCAAAGCAAACACAAUAUUUCAAGCUUCUUUUAGUACAUUUGAAGUGGGAGAGUGUAUUUUUGCAUAUUCAGAGCUUUAAGUGCUUCUACCUUUUUAUAGUGCACAGGGCAUGCACAUAAUCACAGAGCACCAGUUGGAAUCAUUUGCAAAGCUGUAGAACUCAUGCUUUCUCAUAGUUGGCAUGGUAGAUGGCAUGCAGAGCAGGAAAAAAGAGUGGUCCUUACUUUAAAUAUUUGAUGGUAAGAUGAUGUUUCAGCUAAGGAAAUGCCAAAGAUUUUGCUCACUUCUGGCUUCGGUGCAAUGAAGAGUGUUGUUAUCAAAGAAUAGUUAUGAGCUGACCAUCAAACUGAAUCACAUAAUCUGAGAGGAUAAGCUACGAGAACUAAAUCAGGCUGGUCUAAAAGCGUGAAGAACUUGUGUGGCUCUGUAUGACUCCAGUCUGAUUCUUCUUGCUGAGAAAUUUCCAUUACCCCCUUGAAGGAAUUUAGCAAUGCUAUGCAAUACCACAUGUAGAGCUUUUCAGAAGUUGUUUUCAAAUUCAAAUGGAACAAACAGUUCAAUUAAGAUUAAAAUACCUAGGAAGAGUGGAGUUUUCCAGAAAUCAAAAUGCUUAACAUAUAUUGUUUUAUAGAGGUCUGUAGCCUGCUGAAGAAAUAACUCAGAACAUGCUCUUCUUACUUUAUUGCUCUGUAUUUUGCAAAAUAAGUGGAAUUAAGGAGGAACUUGGAACAGCAUUUUUGCCUUGAUCCAAUUUUUGCAUAAUACACAUUUAACAACUUUCACUUGAAUCACCCUUUUAUGUUAAUCAUUCAGAGUUUUUACAGGAACAUUGGUUUUACAGGAACAUCACUGUUGAAUUCCAUGGAUAUUUUAUUUGUAUCUGUUAAAUUGCUAUCGCACUUGUAUAGUAAUUGAUGGAAUAAUAUCUGAAAAAAAAUGUAUUUGUUCAGUGUUCCA
ensembl:lncRNA